UGCGGCCCUUAUCGAAGACGAUUCAGUGAACUUGAUUUCUUGGAUCGGUCAAUACAGGAGCCAACAGUAUCAUCUUUUGCCGACGGUCGCUGUGUAGUUAACAUGUACCUUUUCAGCAACAUAUUGGAAAAGAACACUA